ACCAAUAACUUUUAGGUUUAACAGUACACAAGAUAAGGUUGCAGAUUUCUCAUUGCAACAAACGUUUAAGAAACCUUAAGAAACUACUUUUGUUAAGCUAUGGUGUUAUAUCAAAAAAGAAUAUCCAUAUUAUCUGAAGUGACUAUGCAGAUGCUUCCUUUUUCAAUCUCAUAUUAUCUCUGUGAGGCUGGAUUUUUUUCGUGUACUUCAACCAAAACAAUGAAUCACAACAAAGCAUCAGUAGAUACGAGGAACCAGCUGCCUUCUGUUAAGCCAGAUGUUCCAUAUAGCCCGCAUAGACUAAGACAACCCUCCAUGGGGGCAGCGGUGGCGGGGGCGGAUGUCACGCAGUCAGUCGAAGGCCCUAAGAGGAGGACCGGCCUCCUCUGGAGAAGAGGGACUUCUGCCAGCAGGUGGCCUUCGGACUCAGCUGCAGCAUCAGCUCUCCCUGAGUCUCCAGCCACAAUCAGGUGAAGAAACUGAAGUUCAGAGGGGUCGUGACUAGCUUUAGGUCACCCACCUGCUGAGUGAAGAAGCCCAGACUGAUCCCGUUCUCUGGCUCCAGACAGUGCCUUUAACUACUGGACUCUACUGCCCUCUAGUGGAACUCCUGGUAUUGCGUUGUCUCACUGACACCUUGCUCUCAGGUAUGUGACUGUCACUUGAGGAGACUGAACUAUAACUUCUCUGGGAUGACUGUGGACCACGCUGUCUGCUAUUUGACAUCUCACAGAAAAGGACUGUGUUUCUGAAAAGGGGACCAGCGAUUCAGAUUAAUUCAUUUACAAAGGUGCAAAUACCUUCACCGAGUCCCCUUCUCUCAGAAUCAGAGGGAUGCUCUGAAUCUGAGAUCUCCACGCUUUGGCCCCAACCAGCCCUUCCAGGUUCACCUCCAAGAACUUCCCGACCUGCCCUCCUCUCUGCACCUGUAGUCUCCCCACUCCUUCCACCUAGAAUGGCCCUCACCUGCCUCUCUAUUUGCCACUCGACAUCCCAUCCAGCCUUUAAGGUCCAGGAUAAAUGCCAUUCCCUCUGUGAAAUUUCUCCUGAUCUAUCUGAAGCUCCAGAACAUUUGGGUAACUCUCUCUUGUGUUGUAUAAUUUGUUUGUCGUAUAAUUGUUUUCUCUUCACCCCUAGGGGAAUUGAUGUUUUUCUCAACGGUGCAUGCAUUUUCUUCAAUAUUCUGUCCUCCCGUACAGCCUAGCAAGAGAACUUUUACCUGUUAAAAAUGCAAUAAGUAGGAGUUCCCAUUGUGGCUCAGUGGUUAACGAA